rnacentral:lncRNA from 1 species
GCCGCUGAGCUUGGACCCCGACCAGAAGAUAGAGAUUGAAACGAUGAGGAAAACGAAGUGCCUAAUCCCCGCUGGACGCUAACUGCAGGGCAAGCUCCCCAGUGUUGUAGUUGUGUUUCGGAGGCCGAGAACCGCUAUCGGGCUUCCUCGGACUCUGGCCCUGGAGGGGGGAAACGGCGAGGGAGAAGGCGAAACGAGUCUCCAGUGUGUUCUUGGGGCCUGGUGCGAGGCCCAGAGAAUUCUCUGCAGGCCUUUGCCCGGGCACUGAUUAAGGCUGCGAAGAGACGCACCGGGCUGCGGGCUUAGUAGCUUCAGGCUUCUGAAGUCAGAGGGAGGGCUGAGAGCUUACACUUCUGGAGCUCCCCGGGAGACGGCAACUACCCAACCGUGUGGGAACAUGGAGGAGACAUAUUUCCACCUAUUUCUCUCCAUAAGUAUAAAAGACCAUAAAAGACCAUCUAGGGACUUCAGAACCCAAAUAAUGACACAAUGGGCUAACUGCUGACUGGAGAGGGGAGAAAAUGGAACACGGAGAGACAGAAGAAAGGUUCUGAAGCAACACUGUAACUGCUGAAUGCUUCUGGCUGCUUCUUUCCACAGUAAAAGAUGAAAAGAAAUAUCUUUUAUUGAGAUAGACUGAGGUCCAGGAAAAACAAGUGCAACUUCAUGGUCCUUUUCUUCAUAUUCUGGAAUACAAGAAAACGUGUAAAUGUUUGCAAAUUCAGGUGCUAAGAGUUUUGCAUGUAUAGCAGUACUUUUACCAUCUGUUUCAUUUGGAUGUUUAAUGAUGUCAAUCUUCAAUGGAAGUUUCACAAGUGGAAUCUGUUCAAUAGGUACAUUUUCAACUGGAAUGUAACAUGUAGAGCAGUAGAACAUUCUGGAACCACCACAUUUGAGACAUUUUGAUCUCCCACUUUGCUGAGCUUUUUGAAGAACUUCUUGAGAUGCUAAACAUAAGUUUUGAAGGGGAUCUUCUGAAGCUAUGGAAGUAGUUUGUGACUGUUUUGUUUCCACAAAGUUUGAAUUAUUUUCUUCACUUCAUUUGAGAAAUAUAGGUGGAUUGAGAGACAUUCUUCAUUCAAACAAAAGUUUAACAGCUAUUUCUAAAACACAUAUCAUCUGAAGCUAUGGAAGUAGUUUGUGACUGUUUUGUUUCCACAAAGUUUGAAUUAUUUUCUUCACUUCAUUUGAGAAAUAUAGGUGGAUUGAGAGACAUUCUUCAUUCAAACAAAAGUUUAACAGCUAUUUCUAAAACACAUAUCAUAUGUGCACUGCGAGUCCUCGAACAGCUCCACGCGUCUCCAGCUCUGCCCAAGCCCGAGCCACGCGACGGGCUGUGAUCGCGCACGGACCAGACGAGAGCUCUUCAACUGUGUGAUCCAAAUGAAUUUGAGAACACCUAUUUACUGCUCCGCCCUGUGUCCUGCUGGCCAGAAGUGCCCAUCAAUUUCAAAGGCCUCUGUGUGACUGGAUUGAGGAAGCCAAGAGCAGGGAGAAGAAUAGAUCCAGGUCUUCCCAUUACUCCAAAAUGGAGCCUAGCCCUCUGGCAGCACAGUCGGCCAGCUGGGACCACGGUGGCCAUUACUGGAAGUGUGAUCAUCUGCCCUCUCUCCUCAGUGCCCUUGGAAUAUGUGCUCUUCUGUCUGGCUUCAAUUUCUCUUACUUCUUUGUGUGUGAAGAGUCUUCCUUUCAAUCAGCAAACUCUUCCUGCACACUAUAAAGCCCACUUUGGUCUUCAGAAUCUUUCAGUGCCUGAGCUUGUCAGUAUGAGGUUUCUCUUUCUUUAUUUCCAAAUGUCCUGCUUUCUUUGUGUGCAACUUCUUAAGAAUUUGGCAAAGUAAACAACAAAGCAGCAAUAUUUCAUAGGGUUUAAACUUCCCUUUGGUCCUGGAUAGAAAGGAUUUUUUUUUUUUUUUUGAGACGGAGUUUUGCUCUUGUAGCACUGGCUAGAGUGCAAUGGCGCAAUCUUGGCUCACUGCAACCUCUGCCUCCUGGGUUCAAGGGAUUCUCCUGCCUCAGCCUUCCGAGUAGCUGGGAUUACAGGCACCCACCACCACGCUGGCUAUUUUUUUUGUAUUUCUCAGGAGAGACAGCAUUUCACCAUGUUGGUCAGGCUGGUCUCGAACUCCUGACCUCAGGUGAUCCACCCACCUUGGCUUCCCAAAGUGCUGGGAUUAUAGGCCUGCCACCUGGAUCUAUUCUUCUCCCUGCUCCUGGCUUUUUCAAUCCAGUCACAAAGAGGCCUUUGAAAUUGAUGCCUGCCACCACACCUGGCAGAAAGGAUGUUUUUGUUUCUUCUUUUUCCUGUUCCUUUCUCUGCAAUCAUCUCUCUGAGUCUCAGACAUGUGGCACUGGUUGGCUGGCAGCACCUUCUGUGUGUCUGAGCCCUUACAUAGCUUCCAGAGGAAGGGGUGCUCCGUUGGGGUCCUGCCUGCUUUUGGAGCAUUAGAAUCUCCUUUUUUGCAAGCCUCUGUCUCCCAUCAUUUAACACCCAGCUGUGUCUCUCUGCCCACUGACCAGAAUCUUUUCGCAGUAGGUGGGUUUUAAAAAGCACUCACCAGAACUCCCAAAUGCUAGGGUCUCAUGGCCCCUCAAAAACUCAUUACCUUCUCUUUGGGAUCCUCAGACCUGGCAGGAACCUCACAUAGGAAGAAAGGCAGCCAGGGAGCAGGCAGUGAGGACAGGUUGUAAUCAGGCAGUUCUGGCUGGGCAUAAAGUCUGCUCCUGCUGAAGGCAAGCUGCUCAACACUGCACUGGACAUCCUCCAUGUGUGGAAUCUAGGCAAAGCAGCUCUGUCCUCUAUUAACAAAUAACUGAGCCUGGGCAAUCUGUUACUUCAACUGUCCUUUCAAGCCAGGCUUUGCAGUAACAGGAAUUUGAGGUCCAGCAUGCAGAGACAGACCUAAGUGUGAGCCUCUGCUACUUAUGAGCUGUGUGACCUGGGGCAAAUUACUUAACCUCUCUAUACCCUAUUCCCUUCACUUGUGCAAUAAGAAUAAAUAAUACCACACACUUCGGAGGCAUGGCGUAAGACUCAAAUGACUAAUAUAGGGAUAGUUCAGGGGCAGAUACACGGUUGGAAAGCACACUAGAAAUAUCAGUAGAAUCUGAAUUUUCCCCUACCUGCCUCCUUGUUUUCACUACAAAUAACAUUUCCUUUCCUGCUUUUAAGUCAAGAGGGGAACACACUGAUUCUUUAGCAGACAGUUUAGCACACACUUCAAGCCAGAGAGUGUACCAGCAAUGUGGAUUCAGAAAUAAAUAUGAUGGGAGCCCUGCUCUCACAGGAUGGGGUUGGGGGUGGGGGAUAAAGUCCCAAGGGAGUUGGACAGUCUCCAGAUGGGUAGUCACUGCUGGGCAGAAACACAUGAGGGAAGUGUCAGGAGCCCGAAAGAAGCUCUGAACAGGUUGGAACACGUUUUCUGGAGGAUGGGACAUUGAAACUGAAUCACCUACAAUGUUGAAGGCAGAUGGUAACCUAAGAAAGGUAAAGCCUUGUUAAUCAAAUCAAUUCUUUUCACUUUAACUGUAUUGGAAAGAUACUUUAAAAAAUCUUCAUAACAACUGAAGCUCGAUGAUGCCUUGAUUCUGCAUUAACAUCCUUGCCCAUUUCUUGAUACAUUUUCAAUUUACCUUCAUGGUAAUUUACACUCAAGGAAGCUGUCCAAGAUAUGCGGGGGAUUCAAUAAAAUAGGUCAUGGAGUUAAAUGCUGUGGUGAAACACAGGGCUUAAUUUUAUGGAUAAAAUUUAAACUGCUUAGCUGCCUUUUUUGCAUUAUUCAUGUUAAGACUAAUGAUUACUCACUAAAUGGGAAGGAAUCACUGUAGAAAUCAGGAAGCCAUUUUCUUAAUUCUUUAAGCACAUCUGAUGGAGCUGUGGACUCUGCCCUUGAGGUUAACAGCAUUGUAUUAGGGAAGAGACCUGCUUGGCCCACCAGUCAACCUCCCUUGCCUGGGCUGCUCCUGAAACUGCUACAGGAACAGGAAACUUGAAACAAGAUUUUUUCCUAAAAUUGACAUUGGGUAGAAUGAACAGGAUAGAAGACAAUAUAUUAAUGUCAGUUCCUUCUGGUAUUUUUCAAAGUGAAGUCUGCAUUGAUGUCAUUGACAAAAAUGCAAAUUCCAGAUUGUAACCAAAUCUGCUUACUGGCAGUGAGGUUUAGGCACUUUAAUUAUUCACAAGCAUCCCAGGCAAUUCUUAUGUGCUAGUGGAGAACCACAGAUUGGCAUUGGCUAUAGAGAGACCACUUCCUUUCAGUCAUCCAAGGUUAUUUUAUUAACUUAGCACUGGGCUCCAACGUAAACAAGGGCUACUUUUCUAUAAUGAUCAAAUUACUAAUUUUAUAAGUAUAGAAUAAAAGGAUAUGGGUUUCUUAGAUUGUAAAUGUUUGAUGUAGUUAAUGCAAUUUCAUUUUUGAGGUUUGUUUCUAAUAAUACUCUUAAUUUACAUGUCUAAUGGAUUCCUUGUACACAAUUCUGAUCAUGUAAAUUUAAGAUGAUCUUUUCCACUUUGCAAUACAAGACAUUUAAAAUAACCUAAAGUUGCCCAUUCUCACUAAGCACCUGAAAAUUAGUCCCUGUGGGGAAACUUUUUUCAAGUUUUAUUUUUCUUUUUAUUUCAAGUGUUGUUUAUAUUGUUUCUCUAACUGUUCUACCUAAUGAUUGAUAGGCACCUACCUUCCCCAAAGAAAAAGGGUUAAGUGAUCAAAUAUGUUUGGGAAACACGAGGGCAAACAAAGUGAAACAGACUUUUACUGCAGAUUGCGGAUCCUUUGAGAGCCCUUAAUGUGCACAGUAAUUCUCCAAGAAGGGGACAGAAGUCCCUGGGCUUCCCAUGCUUGUUUAGUUUUUAUGGAUCCCUCUGCUGGAUGAGUGUUCACAGGACCACACUUUGUGAAAUACUCAGUCAGCUCUAUCAGCAAAUUAUAUCACGGGAAUUGGUUACUUUCAUUUGGAUGCUUUGCCCAUGUUACCCAGACUUAGGAAAAUAUUUUACAAUUUGGGGUGUAUAUGAGAUAUUUGGGGGCAUUUUCUCCAAUAUCAACUUCCUGCUUCUGAAAUUCAGGUUAAAACACUGACCUAAAUUACGGAAAUCACAAUCUCCUUCACCAUCACCAACAGUGCCACCAUCAUCAAAUCAUGAUCAGCAUCGACCAACACGAUGAUUCCCACUACCACUAUCACAUUAAUAGCACCACUACCAUCCUACCGUGCCCAGCGAGACAACUGCCAUCACGGUCACUAUGACCAACACCAUAUUACCACCGCUGCCACUAAUAUGCCUCAUUGCUAUGCCAAUAAUCACUAACAGCAUUACCACCACACUCCAACUAACCAAUGCUGCUGCCAUCAUUACUGCCAUGAUCUGUACUACCACCACUGCCACUAGUGCAAACAUCACCACUACUGCUGUUAAAGCAGCCACCACCACUGCACCCACUGUCGCCACUGUCCUUUCCACAUCCAGAUGAAGAAAGAAGAAGAGAUAGAAAGCAUAGUUUCAUUAUUCUAGGUCAUAUUCAAAGGUUGGUCACUAGAUAUAAUUGCACAUAUGUUCCCCUAGUUACUAUGGCAUCCCAAUAGCCAUCAAGUGGAACCAGACAUGGUAUCAUAGCAGAAUCCUGAGGUCUAAGGUCUAGUUUAAAUAAGACUUCUGAUCCAAGGUAGGGGUCCCUCAAUUACCUCUAUGACAGGAGGCAAAGAUGUCACACACGACUGCAUGUCAGCUAAACUCAUUGGAAGAUUCAUUUCUGCCUUCAUAAAUGUAGACACUGGGCUUCAGCUAGUUGUAAGGGAGCAGCCCCUGGUGCAAGCCACGUAGCAACUAGAGGGGCUUUAAAAUCAGCACAAAAUUAAGUUUUAUUGCUGCUUUGAGGAAUGUUCAGGUUGGUGGGAGGGGAUUACAGCAGACAAGUGUUUAAUUUACUCAACUAUAUGCUCAAGUUUAUGUAACUGAGCUAUUUUAAAAUUACAUUUUAUGUAUGCAUUGCUGUAUAUAUUGCACAUAUAUAAAUGUACAAUAAUAAUAAAGAGUGGCAUAUAUGAGUCUCAGGAAUUGUGCCAAAGGCUUUACAUAUACUCUCUUUAAUCCUUUUAACUCCUGUAUGAAAGGAGUGUGACUGUCAUUCUCAUUUUCCUAAUGAACAAACUGUGGCAUGAAGAGGUUAAAUAAUUAGCCUAAGCUUACAAAGCUAAUUAAUUGUAAGACUAAGAUCUAAACCCAGGUAGUCUGGUUCCAGGGCCCAUGAUCUUAACCAACACUCUACAUUUUAACACACUGUCUGCACAUUGUCUACACACAGAUGCAGUGUGUGUACAUCAGUUGUAUAAAUAUAUCAUCUUGCAUGAAGUAAUUUAAGGGAUGUUCAAGGAUAUUGUUGAUUAUAUGCAAUUUAUCUCAUGUGCUGAUUUUUAAGCCUAGUCCCAGAGGAAAUGCAAGUUCACUGAAAUCUAAGGGGGGAAAAAAGACACGAAAAACCAACAAGUGCAAAGCAGUGUGGUGCAGAAUGUGGUGGCAGAGCAACAACCACUCUCAGCAAAAUCCUCAUUAAUUCAUGCCAGUAAGUAUGCAAUGAGGAACUGCAGUAUGCAGGGCACUGGGUGGGGCGAUGCCAGCCCUCCUGAUCCUUAUCCCAUAACUUAUCAGGUGUGUUCAAGUUCUUAGUGCGUCUCAAGAAAAAAUAUCUCAGGUUCGAAUUGCUGCAAAGUUUUUCAAGCACAUCCACCGAUAGCAAGACCCACUGGAGGCAGAUCAGCGAUGAGUCUGAGGGCGGCACAAAGGGUGCUACCAGGUGAUCACCAGUCCUUCCUCCUCAUCCUUAUUCAUUCCUUAGACAUCUUGAUAUUAGAAAUUAUUGGUUUGUGAAUGCACCUAUUGUUAACUCUUUCAAUAUACAAAUACAUGCAAACAUAUGUAUAUUCUACAUAUAUGGACAGGCACAGAUUUUUUUUUAUGUUGGGCUCCCUCAAACAGAAUUAAUCUGUGAGGGUAUAAACCCACUUCACAAUGUCCACAGUGGGGCCAAAACCGCUUUUGAGGUGAUCAACUCUAUGCUGGGAGCAGGGGAGUUCUGGGCUGAACUCAAAGAUGCUUUUCAGCUCUAAAGUACCAUCAUCAUCUUCAUCCUCAUCUUCCUUUUCUCUUAAGUGCCCAGAAUGUGCCAGGCUCUGUGCUGUUUACAGGGUUUAUAUUCUCACAAAAAUCUCAAAAGCCAAUUGCCAGAAUUUCUCUAAAGUUUCUUAAUUGGUUUGGCACAAGCUGGAAAUGGUAGUGCUUGGAUUUGAAAGCAGGCCCAUUUGCCUGGCUUUGAAGUUUUUUUUUUAUGUUUUUGGUGCUUGUUUUUACCAUACUACGCAUCUCUUAAAUUCUUUGUCCCUAAAAUGGGGGAGGGGGCAAUAAUGCCAACCUCAUGGGAUUGUUUUGGCAAUUAAAUAACAAUGUAAAAUUCUUUUUGUAAAAUUUAAAGAGCCAUGCACAUAUAACAUUACUAUUAUUUUGGCUUCAUGUGAUUUUUUUUUUUUUCUGUAACAAAUUUACUUAAAUAUCUAGAUAAUGACUUCAAGAAAAUUGUCUUCCUUUGUAAUUCUACAUAUUUUAUUUUUAAAUAAUUUUAGACUUAUGAGUGUUUUAAAGAUAGUACAAAGAGUUCCCAUAUAUCCUUUAUUCAGCUUCUACUAAUGUUAAUAACUUAAAUAACCAUGGUACAGUGAUCUGAACCAGGAAACUAACAUUAAUUCAACACUGAUCUAGAGACAUCAUUUCUAUUUCCCUAUUGUUCCACAGUUCAAUCGAGGAUCUCACAUUGCACAUAGUUGUCCUGUAUCUACAGUCUCUGCUAAUCAAGGACAGCUCCUCAGUCUUCAGCACCUGGGCUUUUACAAAGAGCACUGGUCAGUUAUUUUGUAGAACAUCCCUCAGUUUGGUUGGUGUUUUCUCAUGAUUAGAUUAAGCUUAUUCACCUUAGGCAAGAAUACCUCAGAACUGAUGCUGUGCUCUUCUCAAUACAUCCUACAUCAGAGGGUACAUGAUGUUGAUUUGUCUUCAUUUUGGUCAUAUUAACUUUGAUACUUGGUUGAGUGGUAUAUUCUAGAUUUCUCCACAUAAGUUAGUAUUUCCCCCUGCGUAUCUGUAAAUAAUAUGUGUCCUGUAAGAAAACACUUUGAGAUUAUGUAAAUAUCCUGAUUCCCAUCAUAUUUCACCUACUAAUUUUAGCAUCAUUGAUGAUUCUGCUCUGUAA